CCUACGGGAGGCAGCAGUGGGGAAUAUUGCACAAUGGGGGAAACCCUGAUGCAGCGACGCCGCGUGAGUGAAGAAGUAAUUCGUUACGUAAAGCUCUAUCAGCAGGGAAGAAACACUGACGGUACGGUAAGCAGACGGUACCUGAGUAAGAAGCCACGGCUAACGACGUGCCAGCAGCAGCGGUAAUACGUAGAGGGCAAGCGUUAUCCGGAUUUACUGGGUGUAAAGGGAGCGUAGACGGUGCGCCAAGUCUGGAGUGAGAUGCGGCAGCUUAACUGCGGAACUGCUUUGGAAACUGGCGAACUAGAGUGCGGGAGGGGUAGGCGGAAUUCGUGGUGUAGCGGUGAAAUGCGUAGAUAUUAGGAAGAACACCGGUGGCGAAGGCGGCUUACUGGACCGUAACUGACGUUGAGGCUCGAAAGCGUGGGGAGCAAACAGGAUUAGAUACCCCAGUAGUC
rnacentral:rRNA from 1 species